rnacentral:rRNA from 1 species
UAAGACAGGUGCUGCAUGGCUGUCGUCAGCUCGUGCCGUGAGGUGUUGGGUUAAGUCCCGCAACGAGCGCAACCCUUAUCUUCAGUUGCCAGCAGGUAAGGCUGGGCACUCUGGAGAGACCGCCCCGGUCAACGGGGAGGAAGGUGGGGACGACGUCAAGUCAUCAUGGCCCUUACGCCUGGGGCUACACACGUACUACAAUGGCGCGCACAAAGGGUAGCGAGACCGCGAGGUGGAGCCAAUCCCAAAAAACGCGUCCCAGUCCGGAUUGGAGUCUGCAACUCGACUCCAUGAAGUCGGAAUCGCUAGUAAUUCGAGAUCAGCAUGCUCGGGUGAAUGCGUUCCCGGGCCUUGUACACACCGCCCGUCACACCACGAAAGUCGGUUUUACCCGAAGCCGGUGAGCUAACUCGCAAGAGAAGCAGCCGUCUACGGUAGGGCCGAUGAUUGGGGUGAAGUCGUAACAGGGUAGCCGUAGGGGAACC